UUACUCUUAUAAUCCUUGUGUUUAAAAUACUGAAAAUGGAUUUCUAAUUAAUAGGGCGCUUUUAAUAGGUCAGUCAUAUGGAGGCUGGUUAAAUUACUGAAUAUGCCAUUUGGGCAGCCUACAAUUCUUGGCUCAUGCUUUCUUUACAAGCGAAAAAACAUGCAACCCUGGAAGAAUUCAAACACAAACACUGAAAAACCAAACCUGAAAAGAUGUAAAUGAAGCAUCCUCCCUCUCUACAGAAUUCCUGCCCAAUUAAUUAGAAAUCCUUGUGUUUAAAAUACUGAAAAUGGAAGGAGUUAAUAGUUAUAGAGAAAUGGUACAAGAGUUUAAGCCAAUAUUUAACAGGGCCAAAGGCGUGCUGGAGGCAUCCUCGCCUCAUGCUCGCAAUGCUGCUCUGCUUCCGUUCCUUGUUCACAUUCAUCCUUCCGACUCAGGUCAUCUGCAUGUGCUUACGUCGGAUUUCCAUUUCAAUACAUGAGGCUUACAUCCAGCAGCCUGUUGAAAUGGGCAGAAAGAAACACUGGGGUUCAAUGAAAACUUAUCCACAUUCCUCCAAGUCUUGUAUAAGGCCUUUACGUCAGACAAUGUAAAGACUGAACUCGGGGGUCCUGCAAGUGCAAUCGGUGGAAAAGGCAGGUGCAACAUCUGCUAAGAUUAAAGGAAAUGCUACUUUUCUAGGAGCUUCAAGAAAUGUAUGCCUUCAUCUGGAGUAGUUCAAAGGUCGAAGUGCAAAUGAUGCAGUAGGUGCCUUGGCAUUGGAUCUUUAUGAGGCCUUUUACACAGGUACAUUGAAGGAUUGCAAUUCUACUGUCUGCAGUUCUGAGUGCGAAACAGUUCCUGAAAUUAUUGAAUCAGCUGGCAACAAGAGCAAGUAUCGUGAUAUAGAUAUGGGUAUACCAGCAAAAAUAGAAGAAGGUGGA